AGGACGAACGCUGGCGGCGUGCUUAACACAUGCAAGUCGAGCGGUAAGGCCCUUUCGGGGGUACACGAGCGGCGAACGGGUGAGUAACACGUGAGCAAUCUGCCCUUCACUUCGGGAUAAGCCUCGGAAACGGGGUCUAAUACCGGAUAUGACUGCGCCAUGCAUGUGGUGUGGUGGAAAGUUCUGGCGGUGAGGGAUGAGCUCGCGGCCUAUCAGCUUGUUGGUGGGGUAAUGGCCUACCAAGGCUUCGACGGGUAGCCGGCCUGAGAGGGUGACCGGCCACACGUGGGACUGAGACACGGCCCAGACCUCCGUACGGGAGGCAGCGAGGUGGGGAAUAUUGGAACAAGUGGGACGAAAGGCCUAGGACUCCGAAGCGAAACGCCGGCGGUAGGAGGAUGGACGGCCGUUUCGGGUUACGUAACC
rnacentral:rRNA from 1 species